UGUGAAGGUCUAUGCACAAACCUUUAUGAAAAUAGCCCGUUUUAUGCAUAGGUUACCCAAGCUCAAGAAGAAAAGCUCAUAAAUAAUCCAUAAGAAACAAUAUACCCCACGAGAUAAAAGGGGAACAGUGCACUAAAAGACCUCAUUAAAAGAAAAUGUUGGUCCUAAACCAUACACACUGAAGCCGUAUCCUAGAGGAUUCAGAUAAUGAUUUUCAAAAUAAAAGAAACAGGAAAUGAAUCAAAUAGGCUCCUUAGUGAUUGAAGAUAUAUCUUCCACCUA